UACGAAGGGGGCUAGCGUUGCUCGGAAUCACUGGGCGUAAAGCGCACGUAGGCGGAUUGUUAAGUCAGGGGUGAAAUCCUGGAGCUCAACUCCAGAACUGCCUUUGAUACUGGCGAUCUCGAGUCCGGGAGAGGUGAGUGGAACUGCGAGUGUAGAGGUGAAAUUCGUAGAUAUUCGCAAGAACACCAGUGGCGAAGGCGGCUCACUGGCCCGGUACUGACGCUGAGGUGCGAGAGCGUGGGGAGCAAACAGG
rnacentral:rRNA from 1 species